GUGCCAGCAGCCGCGGUAAUACAGAGACUGCGAGCGUUAUUCGGAUUCACUGGGCGUAAAGGGUGCGCAGGCGGUCGUGUGUGUCAGGUGUGAAAUCUCGAGGCUCAACCUCGAAAUGGCGCCUGAAACUACACGACUAGAGUACUGGAGAGGGUAACGGAAUUCACGGUGUAGCAGUGAAAUGCGUAGAUAUCGUGAGGAACACCAGAGGCGAAGGCGGUUACCUGGACAGUUACUGACGCUCAGGCACGAAAGCGUGGGGAGCAAAAGGGAUUAGAUACCCGGGUAGUCC
rnacentral:rRNA from 1 species